rnacentral:rRNA from 1 species
UAGGGAAUCUUCCGCAAUGGGCGAAAGCCUGACGGAGCAACGCCGCGUGAGUGAUGAAGGUCUUCGGAUCGUAAAACUCUGUUAUUAGGGAAGAACAAAUGUGUAAGUAACUAUGCACGUCUUGACGGUACCUAAUCAGAAAGCCACGGCUAACUACGUGCCAGCAGCCGCGGUAAUACGUAGGUGGCAAGCGUUAUCCGGAAUUAUUGGGCGUAAAGCGCGCGUAGGCGGUUUUUUAAGUCUGAUGUGAAAGCCCACGGCUCAAACGUGGAGGGGCAUUGGAAACUGGAAAACUAGAGUGCAGAAGAGGAAAGUGGAAUUCCAUGUGUAGCGGUGAAAUGCGCAGAGAUAUGGAGGAACACCAGUGGCGAAGGCGACUUUCUGGUCUGUAACUGACGCUGAUGGGCGAAAGCGUGGGGAUCAAACAGG